GCGAUACAGACUAUCUCUUAUGCCCAGUUUUGUCCUAAUAUCCAACUGAAUUAAAGAAUGUUCAGUUCACUAAAACCCAUUAAUAUAAAUAUACAGAAAAAAGAAAUAAAGAGCAGUACAUUGCAUGUGCAGAGCACUUAAUUUACAUGAGAGCUUUCUCAAUGUAAAAUCUGUACAAAUUACAAAGUUCUCAACAAUUUUGCGACAAUAUGCCCAAGUGUUCACGUAUUUUUGAGAUUCUUCUCUAUUUGAUUAUUUUUCUUAAUGCUACAUGGCUUUCUAUGAAAUAAUCGAGAUCUGUCAAAGGUCUUUUCUAUCAAAAGAUGUUUAUCUUUCCCUUGUACAGUUCCUCCUUUAAUUUCUCUCCCCCCACACACCAUAAUAAAAUAAAUUAUGAAUUCUUUUUGUCAACGUCUAUGAUGAAUCAUAUAGCUUAUACCAUGUAAUAUUAACUAUUGAAGAUGUAACAUUGAUGGUAACCAAUAAUAAGUAUCUAGAAUACAGCGUACCAGCAUAUAACAUAAACCUAUAAUUUAAACACAAGUAACAUUCAUAUCAUGGAUGGGUUCAUGACAAAAAGUCAUGUUUCUCAAACUACCUAUCAUUGACAUCAGUCCACAAGAAUUAAUAAAGUUGCAUAUUGUUUUUGUGUGGAAACUACAAAUAUUUGCUUUGUUAUAAAAGCUUAAAUGCAACAAGAUUAUUGCAAAAGUCACAAAAGGAAGUUUUCACAAAAUGCACGGAUAGACAACUAAUUAGAUAUAUCGUUCACCUAAAUUUCUUUAUCAAGAUACCUUUCCAUAAUGUUUUAUGCUAAGUUUAUGAUGGAUGUGGUGACUAUACACAUAGGCAUAUCAUAUCAUUAAUAAUUCUAUAUAAAGGAUGCAACACAAUAAUGAUGAAGAUUCCAUCUCUUAUAAUACACGAGUUUCUAAAAGUUCCAUCAUACUAACAAUUUCCCUUCAAUUCCUUGUAUGUAGAUGUAAUAUUUGAAUGCCACUCAGUACUCUAUAUGUAUAUUGUCCUCUCAAGUCAUUUGUGCCAACUCCCUUUUCUGCUUUAAAAUGAGUAUGGACAUAUAUAGAAAUUCCAAACAAACUGAUAAUCCAGCUUAUUAGUCACAUAUAUUAUAAUCACACACCAAGAAUAUUUGCUGUUUAUUUUCUCGAUUUGAUGCUGAUUCUGACAUUCAGGUAUAUGUUAAUUUAUUUUAAGGGAAACACCUAAUGGUUUGAAAAAUCCUGAAGUUGCAAUUUUUCAAUUGAAUUUUAUGCUCUUAAUUUUAUCAAUUUUGUUUAUAAGUUACAACUUUUGUGUCAAUUGUAUCAAAUAGGUCUAAAUUGUAUGUUGGCAUUGAUUUGGUGCUAACGUGGACUUCCGAAAUGGGAAAAGAAUUGCUAAAUUGGACAAUGUGAGCCCUUCCUACGUCCUACAAAUUAUUUUGAUGGAAAUUAACAAGAACAACAAGAUUCUAGGGAUGUUCGUGAGAUGAUUCAAAAUGCAAUUGCACAAGAAGCUCCAA
rnacentral:misc_RNA from 1 species